UAUCAACAGCGUGAGUGCAAG
rnacentral:piRNA from 1 species